rnacentral:lncRNA from 1 species
CGAGAUUAAACCAGCCUUUUCUUUCCUUUUUUAACAAUCGAAACCCUAAUCCCUCAUUUUCUCAAAAAAUUAGUCGAUCCCCCUUUCUCUACCUUCUCUCUAUCUCUCUCCCACUCACCCUCUCUCCCUCUCUCUAUCCAUGGAUGCCCCACCGACCUCCACCACCCCACCAAGAUGCGUCUCCCUCCGUUCAUCCCUCCAACAGCAGCCGCCCAGUGUCGCCAUCUGUUCAUCCGUUCUCGCUAAUUGGGAAUUGUAAAUAGAACAAAAGGGUGCUUGUUUUUAGUGAAAAAGAGCUAUUUUGCUAAAAUGGGAGCUUUUAGGAUGUGGGUUGAGCUCAAAAUGGAAAAAGAUGUCAGCUUUAAGUUGUUUGUUGUAGUGUUAUUUUUUGGGGUAUUUCUGGCUUGUGGAUUGUGUUUAGAGAAUGUAGAUUCAGAUGUUGUUGUGUAUAUUGUUACUCUGAAACAAGCUUGUAUCCAAGAAUCAUAGUUCAGAAAAUGUUAGUAGACUGGAUAAACCAAGGUAUUUGUUUGUUAACUGUAUUUAUUUUCAUGUUUCUUGAAAAGAGCUAUCACUUUUUUGCUAGUUUUUUUUGUUCAAUGAAUGACGGUUGGUUGUAGUAGUGACUUGGGAAUCGAUUGUUGAAGUCUUUUACUAGUAUAAACUUAGGAAUUGAUUGUUGAAGUCUUUUACUGGUAUAAACUUAGCUUUUGUGAUGCCCAAGUGUCUGAAGUUUUAGAUUGUGUAUGUUAAAAGAGGUAAUUAUUGUAAUUGAUGCAAUGUAUUAUUAG